CAAGAAAAUGCGUCACCAAUCUAAAAAUCGAAGAAAAUUUUUCAUGAAUGAUCCAAUUAAUUUAACUUUUUUAAGUCAACGUUUGCAUCUCUCAGAUAGAAACAAGAUCGACAAGGCGUUCAUCGAGAAUGAAAAAGAGAUGAUAAGAAAAUGAAAAAUAAAGAGAAGAAGAUCCUCGCGGGAACGUAUGGGAUUUCUGACGGUCGAUCACCAAGGAUUCGUUCUAACGUGAAAUCGGAUCCAACCGCGGCAACGACGUUAGAGGCGUUCUCGAGUCGACGGGCUUCUAGCCUUACGGAUGAAGGAACGAAGGGUGUAACGGUAAACUAGCUUCCGAAUCGGUUGGUUACACCUUCAGGAAACCGAUACCUCUUUGAUUCUUCGUGUAAACAAACCACACGAGCAACCAACUUCCAUGUCUCCUACUACAAAAGAUCCUCGUCCUACUACGAUUUUCGAUUCUUCCUAGGACAAUAAAUCAAAGAUAGCUACAUACAUAUAUCCGAUUGGAGGAACCGCAGCACGAUUUGGUGGGCACAACUAAGGAGCCAAGCACUCAAACACGCUUCCCGUCUGUUUACAAACUGCUACGGCGUCGUUUCCAUCCCCUUGCCUUCGCUUACUCAUAGAGAGCUACGUCUAGACGAAGAAAAUCUCUCCUUGCUCCUGUUCCGAUGUCUUGCUUAAGAUAAUGAAUAGUACCCUUGUGAAUAAUAACAGCGAAUACGCAUAGGACAACGAAAUAAAAGGAGAAUGUGGUAACUGUGCGAGGAGAAGGCGCUUUAGCGAUUUAACGUAAACACACGUAGCAAUUUGUCUCUGGGUUUAUGUCGCCCUUGGGGGAAAAAGGAACCCACGCGUUAGUUCCACGUACGAUGAAGGAGGACGAAGAGGAGGGGAGGAAGAAAAGGAAAGGAGAAUGCUCGCGCACGUUUUUGCAGAGAGUAAAGAAGAGUUGGUCGUAAAGAGGAAGAAGAAGAAGAAGAAGAAGAAGAAGAAGAAGAAGAAGAUAAAGAAGAAAGGAAAGAAGAGAAGAGGAGUCUCGCGAAAUGGGGAGAGAACAAUCUGCUGGUCGUUGUCUUACUUCUUGCUUAGCCUCCGGGAGAAGGGGUAAGGAAGAGGGGGAGAGGAGGAAGGAAGAAAAUGUGCAUUUCGUUGCCAGCCACGAAACAACCAAGUCUCUUCUUCUUUUCGCCACAGGCUGCUUCUUUUCAGUCCGCAGACUAAUUGCGAUCGCUAAUUUCGUGCUUCUGACCCACCCCUUUGAAAACAAAAAGAAACGAAAAGGAAGAAAGAAAAGAAAGGGAUGAAACGAAGAUGUCUAACUUGCUGUUUUGCAAAUGAAAAAGGGGGUAGGGUAGAGAAGAAAAGAAAUGAAAGUAUUAUUUCCUCGACUAGAAGAUGAU